UACGUAGGGAGCAAGCGUUGUUCGGAUUUACUGGGCGUAAAGCGCGCGUAGGCGGCUCUUCAAGUCGAGUGUGAAAGCUCCAGGCUUAACCUGGGAAUUGCGCUCGAUACUGUUGAGCUAGAGUGUGGAAGGGGCUACUGGAAUUCCGUGUGUAGCGGUGAAAUGCGUAGAUAUCAGGAGGAACACCGGUGGCGAAGGCGCCACUCUGGGCCGGUACUGACGCUGAGGAGCGAAAGCGUGGGGAGCGAACAGG
rnacentral:rRNA from 1 species